AAAAUUUGCCUUAGCAGAAUAGAAAUACUUUCCUUGUCAUCUGAAAUGUAGGAGAAUAUAGGUUGAGACAUCUGAGUUGUGUCCCCUCCUUUGUCAUAAUGCCAGCUAGUGUAAAGCUGAGAUUGAUCAAUGUACUCUAAGCUAACUUAGGACUGUGCUCUAGACCUGGUGUAUUCCUUAGGGAAUAGAGAGCCAACAGGUGAAUCACAAGAAGCAACUACCUAAACAAAGUUGAGAAUCUGAGGGUGUCCUACCAAACCUAUACUGUCC